UUCCAGAAAAGUUCAUGCAAAAACCACAAGAGUUUACCUCUACCAAAAUACAUAAAAUCGCAGUUCCCAAAGUCCAGAUUCCCUUUCAUCCAAACGGGAAUUACAGGACGCUAUCCCUUCCGUCGUCCACAGCUAUCCACCACAAUGUCAGACCGCGACUGGCCUCGCGAUAGGGACCGAGAACGUGAGCGCGACCGCGACCGGGACCGUGAAAGAGAACGCCGACGCGACAGAGAAGACCGCGAGCGAGACCGAGACCGAGAACGGACACGCAGCAAGAGAUCCCGCACACCGGAGCGCACCCGAUCUCGUCACACGCGCUCUCGAACACGUUCUCCCGACCGCAACCGAUAUCGUUCACGCUCCCGUUCUCACACGCGCUCCCCGGAACGCUCCUCCCACCGUCACCACCGGCACCGGCACCGAACCCCAUCGGCGGAGCCGCCAAGGAAACGGCACCGCCACGAAAGCGAGGAGAGGGACAAAGAGAAGGAUAGGCAAAAGGCGGUGUCGGAUUUUGUGGACGAGAUAGCGAAAGAGCAGCAGCAAAAGAAAGAAAAUAACAGUAACGAGAACGAGAACGGAGAUGGAGGAGAGGAGGAUGAGAUGGAGAUGAUGAAGAAGUUGGGGAUUCCAGUUGAUUUUGAUUCCACGAAAGGAAAACAUGUUCCUGGUGCUGAUAUCAGUGGAGUUAGGGCUGUGACUAAGCGGCAGCCCAGGCAGUAUAUGAAUCGAAGAGGCGGGUUUAAUCGUCCAUUACCCGCUGAACGCAAUCGCUAGAAUUCGUUAAUUGAUUGAAAGCGUUUUCAAGGUUAGUCAUCUUCCUAGCAUUGGCGAUGGUCAUCCAUUUUGAGUGCUGGCAUGAAAAGCAAGGCAUAUAUUUAAUUAUACUUGAUGCCAGAAAGAAGUCAAGCAGCAGUCGUCAGUAAAGAUGUGAAAGUUUGGGAGUGAAGGAAAAAGAUCUGGGAUCCAGAAGUUCACUGCCUUGCGAUUAUUUAAUUUCAGUCAUUUAAGAAUGGGACAUGUUUUCUGAGGCCAUAUUUUAUAUGAAAAUCAUCUUCAAAAGUUGUGGUUCCCUAUACAUGCAAGAAUGCAUCUUGGAAAAUUCUGGUUCCUCAAAGGCUUACUAUAAUGAUGAAUAUUGUUUGCAUAUAAAAUUGUUGCCUUUUAAUGAUUAUAGUGUGUGUUUUCUGCAGAUGGCUAGUUGCCUUUUAGCCAAUUGAAUCAGGGGUGACAAUCAAUAUAAAAUCAUCUUACUAUGCAUGCCAACUGAUUUCAACUGCUGGAUUUGGUGUGGUAUCUUUGAGUUCCCAGAACCAUUUUCCUGCAUUUGGUGUGGCUUUCUUGUUUUCUUCCACCUCUAUUUCAGGUACUGUUUUCAUGCGA